UUAAUUGAAGCCAAAAAGAGGCCCUCCAUUGUUAAUGGAGCCAUUGGUGAAUUAACCCAAUUAAA
rnacentral:tRNA from 1 species